UGGACCCCUGGAAAAUCAUAAUCUGAGGAUAAAGUAAGAAUUGUUCUUGGUCUCUUAUUCAAGCAACUGAAGUAAAGAUUCACGCAGACUUGCAAAUGUAACUAGAGAACUUUCUUCAAAUCAAAAUAACAAGAUGGUCAGAAAUACCAUCAAGAGGGACAGCAAGCUACACAAGAUUUAAACAGGAAACUCUCCCAUCACCUGCU
rnacentral:lncRNA from 1 species